rnacentral:antisense_RNA from 1 species
CUUCACCGAACCCAGCAGCAGGGGCAGGUCCCCCGCCCGGUCCUGGCCGUAUGUCGCCAGCAGCGCCUGCGCCUC